rnacentral:rRNA from 1 species
CAGCUAAUUACAUCAAAUAUAAAUUGAUGUAAUAUCGACUUUGUCGAAUAAAGUUCUAGGUAGUACAAUGAUAAUGACAUUAUCUGCUUAAAGUCUUGGCCAAAUUACGUGCCAGCAGUCGCGGUAAGACGUAGAAGGCUAGUGUUAUUCAUAUUUAAUGGGUUUAAAGGGUACUUAGACUGUAAAUUAAGCUUUGACUAGAACUGGUUUACUAGAGUUUUUUUUGAGGGAGCAAUAAAGUACUAAUGGUGGAGGGAUAAAAUUCUUUAAUACCUUUUUUCGUGAGAAAAAUAAUGGCACAGAUAUGGGCGAAAGCAUCUCUUUUAUAUAAUAACUGACGUUGAAGAACGAAGGCUUUGUGUAAUGAACAGGAUUAGAUACCCUGGUAGUCAAAGCAGAUAAUGAUGAAUGCCGUAGGUUAGACAAUUGUUUAUCCUGUAAAUGAAAAUUUAAGCAUUCCACCUCAAGAGUAGUUUGGCAACAUUGGAACUGAAAUCAUUAGACCGUUUCUGAAAUCAGUAGUGAAGUAUGUUAUUUAAUUUGAUAAUCCACAAAAAACCUUUCCACAAUUUGAAUAUUUAUAAAAUAAACAUAAAUGCAAGUGUUGCACGGCUGUCUUCAGUUAAUGUCGUGAGAUUAUGGUUGGCUCCAAUUAAUUAACGUAAACCCUCACUUUAUUUUUAUAUAAAGUUGUUCUCCAUUAUAUUG